rnacentral:rRNA from 1 species
AACGAACGCUGGCGGCAUGCCUAACACAUGCAAGUCGAACGAGAUCUUCGGGUCUAGUGGCGCACGGGUGCGUAACGCGUGGGAAUCUGCCCUUUGGUUCGGAAUAACAGUUGGAAACGACUGCUAAUACCGGAUGAUGACGAAAGCCCAAAGAUUUAUCGCCAGAGGAUGAGCCCGCGUAGGAUUAGCUAGUUGGUGUGGUAAAGGCGCACCAAGGCUACGAUCCGUAGCUGGUCUGAGAGGAUGAUCAGCCACACUGGGACUGAGACACGGCCCAGACUCCUACGGGAGGCAGCAGUGGGGAAUAUUGGACAAUGGGCGAAAGCCUGAUCCAGCAAUGCCGCGUGAGUGAUGAAGGCCUUAGGGUUGUAAAGCUCUUUUACCCGGGAUGAUAAUGACAGUACCGGGAGAAUAAGCUCCGGCUAACUCCGUGCCAGCCGCCGCGGUAA